CCUACGGGGGGCUGCAGUAAGGAAUAUUGGACAAUGGAGGCAACUCUGAUCCAGCCAUGCCGCGUGAAGGAUGAAGGUCCUAUGGAUUGUAAACUUCUUUUGAACGGGAGAAAACCCUUGGUCGUGUACCAAGGCUGAUAGUACCGUUAGAAUAAGGGUCGGCUAACUUCGUGCCAGCAGCCGCGGUAAUACGAAGGACCCAAGCGUUAUCCGGAUUUAUUGGGUUUAAAGGGUGCGUAGGCGGAACGGUAAGUCAGUGGUGAAAGCCUGUUGCU
rnacentral:rRNA from 1 species